UCCGUUCUGGAUGGCUAGCAUGUACCGA
rnacentral:piRNA from 1 species